GACGUAGGGCGCGAGCGUUGUCCGGAAUUAUUGGGCGUAAAGAGCUCGUAGGCGGCUUGUCACGUCGGGUGUGAAAGCCCGGGGCUUAACCCCGGGUCUGCAUUCGAUACGGGCUAGCUAGAGUAUGGUAGGGGAGAUCGGAAUUCCUGGUGUAGCGGUGAAAUGCGCGGAUAUCAGGAGGAACACCGGUGGCGAAGGCGGAUCUCUGGGCCAUUACUGACGCUGAGGAGCGAAAGCGUGGGGAGCGAACAGG
rnacentral:rRNA from 1 species